GUCUACGGCCAUGCCACCCUGAACGAGCCCGAUCCUGUCUGAUCUCAGAAGCUAAGCAGGGCUGGGCGUGGUUAGUACUUGGAUGGGAGACCACCUAGGAAGACCAGGUGCUGUAGGCG
rnacentral:rRNA from 1 species